rnacentral:lncRNA from 1 species
AUGGUGGUUUUUGUGUCAAAUCAGUGGUUAUUUGGUGCUCUGACCACCAUUGGAGCCUCCUCGAGCUGCAGGCCGUGUCCUGAGCCAGGAGGAGCAGCUCCGCUCUCCCUCCCAGGCCAAAUAUCAGGCGAGGAUCGGGGCCGUUGGACCUGUGAGCGUGCACUGAGCAGGGUUUUAUCUCAGGAUUUUAUCUCAAGGCUUUAUUUUUUGCAGGAUUUUACCAUUUCAGCGCGUAGGGCAGCAAGCUGCAGGCACCGAACCAGGGAAGCGACCCGGCCACGUUCUCACGCUGGCUUCGUGGCGGCGUGCUCAGCCCCAAGCUCUUUAAAUACACCUGGAGCAUCUCUUGAACCUGACAGCAAGUGAGAGAAGUGCUGAGAGGUGCCCAAACUGCUUCUUGGUGUUUCUGGGAUGCAGAGGACUAGGUUUCCGCCGAGGAGCCCCGUAACCUCUCCGGGAACCCAUGGCCGAGGUGUGCAUAGGGAGGAAAUGCCUUUGUAGCAAGUGCCUGCUGCCACCGGGUGGUAACCGGCCUCCCCUGCAUUUGCACAGGCCUCGCUGAGCUCUGAUUUUCGUGCACGCGAUAAUUUACCCAGUGUCUAAUUCGCGUUCGUGUCCUUUUUUUAGCACAGUUCCCAGAGCGAGCGAAACGGGAUUCGUACCCGAGAGCAAAGAGCUGGGUGGAAACACGGAGCAUGCAGGGAAACGCGUCCUUAACGAAGGCUGCAUCUUUUUCUGCUGAGAUGUUUUUAACCCACUUCUGCCUUUUGGUGUCUCUUUUUUUUUUCUGUUCGUGCAGGUGCUCUUUUAAGCAGCACUUUUUGGGGCAGAGGCACGCCAGCUCUAACGCUGUGUUCUCUCCCAGAAUGGUGCUUGUGGGCUGCAGCUUUCUGUAGAUGUCGUUGCUUUCUGUUACAAGGUGUGCUGCAUCGUGACAGGAACAGGCUUUUUAAAGCUGUUUGCUUUGAGCCUUCUUGGCACAUUCAUGCUAGGUUUUUUCUCUGCUUUAAAAAAAAAAAUAUUUAAAGUGCUUGGACAAUUUUUGCCUCUCUGCUUUGAUAGGAUUUGCAGCUGUGAAUGUGCUUUAAUAGAAUUUACAGCUGGGCUGAAGUAUCCCCUCUCUUAAAAUAACAUUGCAGCUUCGUGAUUCAGGAGAAUGUGCCUCCCACUAGCUGCUUUGUCUGUAGCUGUGAAUGCUCUGGAGCAAGAGGAGAAUAUGAGCAAAACCAAAACUUUUGUAUGUGGCAAAAUAGGAAGCAUAACCCUGUGGUUCAGGACUGUAACUAUAAACGAGUGUACUUGGGUCUUGUUUUAUUUUUGCUUUGCCAGUGCCUUGCUUUCUGCUCUCACGUGCAGCUUUUAACCUGCCAGUUGUUUUUUUUUUUCUGCCAUUAAAAUGGGAAUAGGAAAACCUCAGAGCGUUGUUAGAUCAUUAGGUGAUCGUUCCGGGGAUCUUUACCUCCGGAGCUUUGUGUCGCUCUGACCAACACAGAGAAAUCAGUGCAUUUGUGCAGGAAAAAAAAAAAACACAGAGUCACCUUUCCUGUGCCCUGAUUUUGCGGGGUUUCAUUUGGGCUCCUCUUCUCUGAAAAUCUUUGCAAGUCCCAUCCUCCCCGAGGGGUGCCCGGUGACAGGGGGAUGUGGGCCAAGCAAAAGCUCAGCGCCCUCCCCAGCUUGCUGCUGACAAAGCUGGUGAGCCGAUCUGCUCUUCUUUUUCCCCAAAAAAAGGCUAGAGCCAGAGUGCCCGAGCAGCAGCACGUUUGUUGCUUUGAAUGCGCUCCGAACCUGGAGGGAUCUGGCUCUGUACAUCCCUCUGCGAAACGCUGGUGCUGAGUGCUCAGGAUAAUGAAUGUAGGGAGAACGGUUUUUAAGGUUAUGACUGCCACCGAGCCAGCUGUACCUCGG